GCUGAGAGAGGCCAAAGCUGCUUUCCAGACAAUGCCAGUGGCCAGCUGCAGUUCCACGUGGAUCAGUCACAGAAGACUCAGGUGGGCCGAGAGACAGGCCAUUUCUGGCAGCCACACCAUUGACAGGCUUUUUCCAUCACACUGAGUCGCCAAGCAGCAUCUCCCCGCAGUACCAGUUAUGUGUGCCUGAUCAGGGCCAGCUCCCGCGUGUCAUUCAAUCUAGAGUGAACAGCACGGCAGCCGCCUCCUCAGGUCCCUACCCUCCACCUGGGGACCACACAGAAGAGCGCAGCGCCUGAGUGGGCGCCUUUCCAUGAAGGAGUAGGGGUGGGUCGUCCCUGGAAGAUAAUUCUCAGCAAAGCAUUUCCUGGGAAAUCAUUGGCAUCAUUCCCCACCCCUCCCUCCUCUUGCUGGUGUCCCCUUUAAAAAAAAAAAAAUUUUGAUCAAUCAAAAUAAAAGAACAAGCAUGGUUGGGAGACUCGCA
rnacentral:lncRNA from 1 species